AGGCGGCCGCCAUGUUGAAUGUGGCUCCGCCCGGGGAGCUGCUGGAGUACGAGGGAGCCAAGAAGGGCUCCAAGGACCUCUGCCUCUUCUCUGAGCUCGUUCUUAGGCCCCUCUGCCGUCUGCACGCUCCUUUCCAGCCACCCGGCCUCCCGAUGCCGGCCUAGCACGUUCCUCGCGCCAGGCUUUUGCAUCUGCCCUUCCCACUGUCUUUCGUGUGCAAACGCCACAGGUCCUGCGCACCGCACCCCUCAUGGAAUAGCGUCGCCUCCUCUCUACCUUCACACACGCCCCGAAACUUGCCUCUCAUCCUGUGUCUCUAUAGAUUUUUGCACCAUCUGACCGACGAACCCCUACCCUUCCCUAGACCAUGUCACGAUUCCGUCGCAUCCUCUGCCAUUGUCCCUCGGAAUAUUCCUAGAUGGCAUUUAUCACUGUGGAUAGUUACCACUACUCAGCGUUUUGGCUAAGAUCAAGUGUUCCAUCAUCGUGGGUGGCUCAUACGUGUAAUCCCAGUACUUUGGAAGGUGGAGGCAAGAGGACUGCUUGAGGCCAGGAGUUUCAGAUCAGCCCAAGCAAUAUAGCAAGACCUCCAUCUCUACAAAAGAUUUUUAAAAAUUAGCCAGGUGGUGGCAGCAGACGCUUGUGCAGCUAUACGCAAGAUUAAGGCUGGGACUUCCUUGGCAAGAAGCAGGAGCUGCUGAAGUUGCUGGUCAACCUAUGGGUGAAGCUGUCCCAGCUGUGCAUCACCAAUGUCAGCAGUCCCGUCUUUUUGACACCAGGGACCAGUUUCGUGGAAGAUAAUUUUCCCAUGAAUGGGGGCAGGGGGAUGGUUUUGGGAUGAUUCAAGCACAUUACGCUUAUUGCGUACACCAUCUCUAUUAUUACAUUCUAAUAUAUGAUAAAAUAAUUCUACAACUCAUCAUGAUAUAGGAUCAAUGAGAGCCCUGAGCUUCUUUCCCUGCAACUAGAUAGUCGCAUCUGGGGCUGAUGGGAGACAGUGACAGAUCAUCAGGCAUUAGAUGCUCAUAAGGAGUGCACAACCGCCGGGCGUGGUGGCUCACGCCUGUAAUCCCAGCAUUUUGGGAGGCCAAGGCGGGUGGAUCACCUGAGGUCAGGAGUUUAAGACCAGCCUGGCCAACAUGGCAAAACCCUGUAUCUGUGAAAAAUACAAAAACUAACCAGGCGUGGUGACACAUGCCUGUAAUCCCAGCAACUCAGGAGACUGAGACAGGAGAAUCGCUUGAGCUGGAGUGCAGUGGUGCAAUCAUAGCUCACUGCAGCCUUGAGCUCCUGGGCUCAAGUGAUCCUCCCACCUCAGCUUCCCAAAAUGCUGGGAUUACAAGCAUGCGUCACCACAGCAGGCCCAAUUAGAUAAGGUUUGAAGUAUGUCUACACCUGCAAGACCACCACCACAAUCGACAUAAUGAACAUCACCCGAUGCUCGUGUUCAUCAAAGUCUCUGCUCUCUCUUCCUAUGAUCACAGCAUGUCACUGUACACUCAUUUGUUUGCCUUCGUGCUUGUGAUGUCUUCCCCAUUAAACUGGGUGCCUGGUGAGGACACGGAAC
rnacentral:lncRNA from 1 species